rnacentral:lncRNA from 1 species
CUACGUCCAUUCUCCUCAAUCUCCUAACCGAGUGAGGGUUCCACUAACUUGAAGCUUCAAUCAAGCUUUCAAUCUUCUUACACUUGGAUUCCGACUCCAAUGGGCUCUUACACAAUCUCUUCAAGAUUUGAACCACUUGAAGGCUUUCACACUCAGUUUACACAAAGAUGAAACUCUCAACCUAGUUUAAGGAUGGCUCAAGUACAAGAGAAAGUUAGGAUGAUUUACAAGAGUGCACUAAGAAUAUGCAAGUGAUGGUUUUAUGCACUAAGAAAGAAAUGAGAGCUUUUUUAUCAAGAACAGGUAGGUAGACAAUUGAUUGUGAAGGUUCUCUUAGUCAUAAAUGAAGUGGAGCUCUCAAUUUAUAGGUUUCUAAGCUCAGGAGUCAAAAACAGCAAAAGGAAACCUCGUCCGGUCGAGCUAGGGGUCGACCGGUUCACUAGUCGUUGGAGCAUUUAAUGCAUGACAGGUUACUGUUGCCUCAACCGGACCUUGACCGGUCCUCGACUGGACAUCGACCGAUAAAGGAAUCACCUCGACCGGGAAGAGAAGGCUACUAGGAGAGAGAGAAGGUUUUUAACCUUCCUCGACCGGACGACCUCAGCUAGUCGACCGGUUCAUCAACCGGUUGACCGGUUGGCCUUAGCCUCGACCGGUUGAGCCUUUUUGGCCCCAAAAAACCUAUUAUUUGAUUACUUUCUUUUCUGACACUUAGGCAAGGUCUUUAGGUGAGUUAAUAUGUCAAUUUUGAAUCAAUUUGCCUAAGGUAUAUUUGAUAAAACUCGGGUUUUAAAGAAAAUCAAGUUUUAAAGAAUAAGCCGAGUUUUCUAAGAUGCAUGAAAAGGUAUGAACAUCCUAAGUGCACUCAUGCUAUCAUCUUACAUUCAUUUCCUAUGAUCUCAAGUCCUCCAAGCGUCUCGAUCUUGUAUCCAUUUGGUCAUUUGAUGAAUUUUCGAGUUUAUACCUGAGAUUCUUAAACAUUAAACCAAUUAGUUACUUAACCAUGGUUUGUUAUCAUCAAAACCCGAUUAGGAGAACCCCUGGGCUAACAAUCUCCACCUUUUUGAUGAUGACAAACCCUGGUUAUCUAGGAGACAGAGAAAUCUCCCCCUCAAACCAACCAUGGGAUAAUCAACACAAAAUUUAGGAAAUUUAAGGCAAGAAGACAAUGUAAAUCAAUAAGAGUGUCAUAUCAUAUAUAAGCAAGAGCAAGAAUACAUGAAAGCAUAAGUAUGAUAUGCAUGAAAAUGAAAAAGUCUCCUAAGGUCCGUAUCCUAACAUAUCUCCCCCUUUGGCAACAUAAAAAAGAAACAAAGGGGGAUCCUAAACAAACUCAAGGCUGAGGAGGUGGUGGUGGAAACACAGAACGGAGGUAAGCCAUCAUCUCCUCGUGCUGACUCUCCUGGCAGCUCUUAAAACGCUCAAUCCUCUGUAUGAGAUGCUCAAACUGAGAAGUGAAGCCGACCUGAUACUGAUCGAUGCGAUCCUCCAUGGAAUAAAAACGAGUAUCAUGGACUACGACUAACUCCUCCAUACGAGUCUCGAGAGAGCUGAUUUGUGCCGACAAAUCCAUCCAAGGUGGAUGAUCAGGAGCAUGAGGAGCCUGAGAUGGUAGCUCGGUGAAUGAUGGCUGAGAUGAAGGGCCUGCUGUGAAGGACGACUCAAUCAUCAUAGGCUCGGAGAAGGUAGCCUCAACAUGAAUGCCCUCUAACUGAUGUGGAGGUGGAAUGUCAAGCUCGGGCCCUCUCUGCUCAAAGUCCCUCUGAGGGUCCAACCCAUCCUCCAUCUCUCUGAUCUCGACCUCCUCCUCUACUCCGGGGUGUAUCUGAUCAUGUCCCCGGGCCUGUCGCUCGGCUUUCCUAACCCAAGAGUCAUCGGGUACCUUCUCGAACUUCAUGCGCCCCAAAGACUUCUCAUCAUUUGUGUCAUAGGUGGUGGGGGCCUCAAAAUCUCUCUCUACUCAAGUUGACCCCGGCAUUCUUGAAAGCACGGGUAAGGAAGCGGUCGUAGGGGAGUACUCGUGUCGAGCUUUCAACACAGGAGAUCAUAUGCAUCAUCAUAAGGUAGCCAACAUGAAUCCGUCUCCCGAUGAGGAUCGAGUCAACAAUGAAAGCCUCGAGGUAGGAGACCUCGUCUCAAUGUCCUCCACGUGGCAAGAGAAUCGAACAAAUCAUAUGGUGAAGGACUCGGCUAGUCACUGUCAAGCUAUGAGCCGAUGGUUUGCCCAUCCCCUGAGGAUCGGCAAGUCUGCACAACCUCUGAACAACCUCUCUAGGCUCAAAUCCCGGCACAGUGGGCCACGCCUUGGCCUCAUAAACAAAGAGUCCAAUCGAAGAAAUGUCGAGAAUGCGGCAGAUGCUCUCGGGACUCAAACGGAUCUCAACGCCUCUCAUAGUGGAUAAUACGGGUCCUCCUAGCCUGUAGGUCGCCCGAGAAUAGAAAGCCCGCACCAGAGUCGGGAAGACCGGCUCAGAGAUCGUCACUACGGGUAGCCAUCCCAUCCGUCCGAACAACCCCUCAAAGCCAAAGUGCUGAAGUUGGGAGAAAUUGACACUUCUCCGUGGGGCGACUUUCCCUGAGCAAAUUUUUGCUUGUAGCGCUGAUAGUCCUCAUUCGAACUGAAGAGUGUCGUGUCAAACCUCGCCUUUCGACGAGCCUCCGUCUGCUCAAGCUGAGAUGGCUCAACAGGGUGCUUGCCCUGAGCCUUGGAAGUGCCCGUCUCUCUCCGUGGUGCCAUCAAUGAAGCGAAAGAAGUGAAGAAGGAGUUCAAACAGAGAAUGAAAGCAGAGAGGAAGAUGCAACCACAAACCCGAAACCUUAGACACCUGGAGAUGGAUCUGAACAACCUUGAGAAGCGCGGUGCAGAGAUGAGACACCCUCAAUAGGUGAAACCCUAGGUUUCAAACCAAAACCCUAGCCCAAAUCCGUCCAGAGAUGAAACCCUAGCCUCAAAAUCGUGUAAAAAAUCACUCCAAAACCUAAAAUCGGUCCAAGGAAUAGCCCAAACUGGUCUCUGAAGGCGGGAAGAUGAAGAGUCUUCAAGGAACGGUGGAGAACAGUGGAAAAAACUGACGCGCGAGGGCCUUUUAAAUUCCCAACCCCGACGAACCGGUCGACCGAUUCCCAAACCGGUCGACCGCCUGAUCAACAGUCAACGGUCAUAUUUUCCAAAUUUUCUUGCAUUUGCUUGUCUCGUGAUCCUCCCCCUGCCUUUUUCAGUUGAAAUCCCCAAUUUUUGAUGUUCAAUGCCAAGAGAAUUUUGAAUUUUGGUCAAAAAUUGACCUAUUUCCUAAGGAAUUGCUAUAUGAUGCGUAUGAGAUGACAUUUAUGCAAUCAUAAUGCAUUUCCAACAAGAAUUCAUUAUACAAACAUCAGAUCAAAGAGAAAUAACCCCUAGUUGUCUUCUAAUAUCGGAAAAUUGUUCUUCACUUAGAGGUUUUGUAAAAAUAUCAGCAAGUUGAUCUUUUGCGUUUACAAAUUCAAGUGUAAUGUCACCCUUUUGUGCAUGAUCUCUAAGAAAAUGGUGUCUAAUUUCUAUAUGCUUGGUCCUAGAGUGUUGCACGGGAUUUUUUGAAAUAUUUAUGGCACUAGUGUUAUCACAUUUGAUAGGAACAUGCUCAAAAGACAAGUUAAAAUCACUAAGUGUUUGUUUUAUCCAAAGGAUUUGUGCACAACACAAACUAGCUGCUAUGUAUUCGGCUUCCGCCGUUGACAAAGCUACCAAAUUUUGCUUCUUACUAUGCCAUGAGACAAGUGAGUGUCCUAGGAAAUGACAAGUGCCACUAGUGCUCUUUCUUUCAACUCUACAACCGGCAAAAUCGGCAUCCAAGAAACUAAUCAAUUCAAAGUUAUCACCCUUAGGAUACCACAAACCAAUAUUCAUUGUCCCUUUCAAAUAUCUAAGAAUUCUUUUAACGACACUUAAGUGAGAUUCUUUAGGACAAGAUUGAAAUCUAGCACACAAGCAUACACUAUACAUGAUAUCGAGUCUACUAGCGGUCAAAUAAAGCAAGGAUCCUAUCAUGCCUCUAUACAUAGUUGAGUCAAUAGAUUUACCUUUUUCAUCCAUGUCAAGCUUGAUGGAUGAGCUCAUUGGAGUUUUCAUCACCUUGGCUUCUUCCAUGUUGAACCUCUUGAGAAGAUCCUUUAUAUACUUUGCUUGAUUGAUGAAGGUUCCUUCCUUUAGUUGCUUGAUUUGAAGUCCAAGGAAGAAAUUGAGUUCUCCCAUCAUGCUCAUUUCAAACUCACUAUGCAUACACUUACAGAAAUCAUCACAAAGAGAGUCAUUAGUAGCUCCAAAAAUAAUAUCAUCAACAUAUAUUUGAACUAGGAGCAUAUCCUUUUCUUUGGUUUUUAUGAAAAGAGUUGUGUCAUUUUUCCCAUUUUAAAACCCUUUUUCAAAAGAAAUUUACUUAGUCUUUCAUACCAAGCUCUAGGUGCUUGUUUCAAACCAUAAAGUGCCUUUUUAAAUUUAAAAACAUGGUUUGGAAAGUUAAAGCUUUGAAAAUCGGGUGGUUGUUCAACAUAUACUUCCUCAUUUAUGAAGCCAUUUAGAAAAGCACUUUUCACAUCCAUUUGAUAUAGAAUAAAGUCUUUGAAGCAUGCAAAAGCAAGCAACAUUCUAAUUGCUUCCAAUCUAGCUACGGGGGCAAAAGUCUCUUCAUAGUCUAUUCCUUCUUCUUGAUUAUACCCUUGGGCUACCAAUCUUGCCUUAUUUCUUACUAUGAUGCCAUUUUCAUCCAUUUUGUUUCUAAAGACCCAUUUGGUUUCAAUAACACUUUGAUUUGAAGGUCUUGGUACUAGUUCCCAUACUUCACUUCUUUCAAAUUGAUUUAAUUCUUCUUGCAUAGCAAUCAUCCAAUUUUCAUCAACUAUAGCAUCUUUUAUGUUUUUAGGUUCAAUUUGAGAGAUGAAUGCAAGAUUAUUACAAAUAUUUCUAAGGGAUAAUCUAGUUCUUACCCCACUCGAUGGAUUACCAAUGACUUGAUCUUGUGGAUGGUUGAUAACAAACUUCCAAUCUUUUGGAAGGUCUUGGCUUGAUUCACCUUGCACUUGUUGAGGAGGAGGUAGUGCCAAAGGUGAUUCUUCUUUCUUGGGAUCCUUUCCACUUUCUUCUUGUUGUCUUUUGUCUUCAAUUUGCAAUUUUCCCAUGGAGGUCUCCAAUCCUAAAUCAUCAUCAAAACUUUCUCUUUCUUGAAGAGAAUUGUUAGAUUCAUAAAAAUGACAUGGAUGGACUCUUCUACAACCAUGGUUCUUUUGUUGAAAACUCUAAAAGCUUUACUUGAAGUUGAGUAGCCAAGAAAAAUUCCAACAUCGGAUUUUGCAUCAAAUUUUCCAAGAUUAUCUUUGGUGUUUAAUAUAAAACAUUUGCACCCAAAGACUUUGAAAUAGCUAAUGUUGGGUUUCUUGUUUUUCCAAAGCUCAUAGGGAGUUUUCUUAAGAAUGGGCCUCAACAAUAUUCUAUUUAAAACAUAGCAAGAAGUGUUUACCGCUUCGGCCCAAAAAUACUUUGGCAAAUUGUUUUCAUUUAGCAUGGUUCUAGCCAUUUCUUGAAGAGUUCUAUUUUUCCUUUCAACUACCCCAUUUUGUUGAGGAGUUCUAGGAGCCGAAAAAUUGUGAUUGAUACCAUGCUUAUUGUAAUAUUCCUCAAAGUCAAAAUUCUCAAAUUCUCUCCCAUGAUCACUUCUAAUGCAAGUGAUUGUAAAGCCUUUUUCAUUUUGAACUUUGUUACAAAAUUUUUAAAACUCAUAAAAAGCUUCACUCUUUUGGCUUAAAAACAAGACCCAUGUGUAUCUAGAGAAAUCAUCUACAAUGACAUAAGCAUAAGAUUUUCCUCCUAUACUAGGUGUCCUAGAAGGACCAAAUAAAUCCAUGUGUAGCAAUUCAAGAGGUCUAGAUGUUGAAAUGAAAUUUUUGUUUUUAAAAGAGUUUUUUAUUUGUUUUCCCAUUUGACAAGCUUCACAAACUUUGUCUUUUUGAAAAUUAAUUUUGGGAAGGCCUCUAACGAGUUCAUCUUUGUUGAGUUGGGAAAUAAGGUCCAUGUUAGCAUGUCCCAACCUCCUAUGCCACAACCAACUUUGAUCAUGCAUGCUUGAAAAACAUCUAUCAUGGCCAUCAUAUUUUGAAAUAUUUAUAGCAUAUACAUUUUCACAUCUAUAGCCCGUGAAGAUGGUUUUGUCAUUUUGAAUAUCCUUGAUGAUACAAUGAGAUGCUUCAAAAAUUAAUUUAAAACCUUUGUCACAAAGUUGACUAAUGCUCAAAAGAUUGUGUUUUAAACCAUCUACUAAUAAAACACUUUCAAUAAGGGAGGAUGUACCAUUACCUAUGUUACCUUGACCAAUGAUUCUUCCUUUUGCAUUGUCUCCAAAGGUGACAUAUCCUCCUUUUCUCUUUGUAAGGAAGGCAAACUUGGAUUCAUCCCCGGUCAUGUGUCUUGAGCACCCACUAUCCAAGAACCACUUAUCCUCCUUUGAGCCCUACAAAAUAGAAUUCAAGUUGGUUUAGGUACCUAUGUCUUUUUGGGUCCUUGAGGGUUAGUGACUUUGGAUUUUUCAAUCCAAACCUUUUUAACCUUAGCAUUUGAAUUCUUUUGAGCACCAUUUCUUAAAGGACAUGUACUACUAAUGUGCUCUCCUCUUCCACAAAAAGUUACAAAUAGUGGAAGGACAUUCACUUGAAGAUUCUUUUACAAAAUAUUUUUUUUAAAAANNNNNNNNNNNNNNNNNNNNNNNNNNNNNNNNNNNNNNNNNNNNNNNNNNNNNNNNNNNNNNNNNNNNNNNNNNNNNNNNNNNNNNNNNNNNNNNNNNNNUUUCCUUUCAACUACCCCAUUUUGUUGAGGAGUUUUAGGAGCCGAAAAAUUGUGAUUGAUACCAUGCUUAUUGCAAUAUUCCUCAAAGUCAAAAUUCUCAAAUUCUCUCCCAUGAUCACUUCUAAUGCAAGUGAUUGUAAAGCCUUUUUCAUUUUGAACCUUGUUACAAAAUUUUGAAAACUCAUAAAAAGCUUCACUCUUUUGACUUAAAAACAAGACCCAUGUGUAUCUAGAGAAAUCAUCCACAAUGACAUAAGCAUAAGAUUUUCCUCCUAGACUAGGUGUCCUAGAAGGACCAAAUAAAUCCCUGUGUAGCAAUUCAAGAGGUCUAGAUGUUGAAAUGAAAUUUUUGUUUUUAAAAGAGUUUUUGAUUUGCUUUCCCAUUUGACAAGCUUCACAAACUUUGUCUUUUUGAAAAUUAAUUUUGGGAAGGCCUCUAAUGAGUUCAUCUUUGUUGAGUUGGGAAAUGAGGUCCAUGUUAGCAUGUCCCAACCUCCUAUGCCACAACCAACUUUGAUCAUGCAUGCUUGAAAAACAUCUAUCAUGGCCAUCAUAUUUUGAAAUAUUUAUAGCAUAUACAUUUUCACAUCUAUGGUCCAUGAAGAUGGUUUUGUCAUUUUGAAUAUCCUUGAUGAUACAAUGAGAUGCUUAAAAAAUUACUUUAAAACCUUUGUCACAAAGUUGACUAAUGCUCAAAAGAUUGUGUUUUAAACCAUCUACUAAUAAAACACUUUCAAUAAGGGAGGAUGUACCAUUACCUAUGUUACCUUGACCAAUGAUUCUUCCUUUUGCAUUGUCUCCAAAGGUCACAUAUCCUCCUUUUCUCUUUGUAAGGAAGGCAAACUUGGAUUCAUCCCCGGUCAUGUGUCUUAAGCACCCACUAUCCAAGAACCACUUAUCCUCCUUUGAGCCCUACAAAAUAGAAUUCAAGUUGGUUUAGGUACCCAUGUCUUUUUGGGUCCUUGAGGGUUAGUGACUUUGGAUUUUUCAAUCCAAAUCUUUUUAACCUUAGCAUUUGAAUUCUUUUGAGCACCAUUUCUUAAGGGACAUGUACUACUAAUGUGUCCUCCUAUUCCACAAAAGUUACAAAUAGUGGAAGGACAUUCACUUGAGGAUUCUUUUACAAAACAGUUUUUAAAAUACUUUUGGUUCUUUGAAGAUUUGAAUCCUAGUCCUUGUUUGUCAAAAACACAUUUUUGGCUUGCUAAGAUCAUUUCAAAGGACUUUUGUCCACAAGAGAAAAUUGAAAGAGAGGAGGUCAACCAUUCAUUUUUCUUUUUCAAAAUUUCAUUUUCAUUUCUUAAAAUCUCAUUCUCUUUUUCAAGAUGAGUUUUAGAAAUUUCAUCAAUUGAAAACUUUUCUUUCACUUCCUCAAGUUCUUUUUCAAGUUCUUGAAUUCUCUUUUUAAGAGAAUUACUUUUCAAACUAAGUUUUUCAAAAUCCUCAUAUAGUUCUUCAAAAAUAACAUGCAUAUCUUCAUCACUAGAGUUAGAGUUUACCUCAUCAAGAUCAUCUAUUGCCAUGAAGCACAUGUUUGCCACUUCUUUCUCCUUUUCUUCCUCGGAAGAUUCUUCACUCUCACUCCAAGUGGCCAUCAUUGCCUUUUUCAUUCUUCUCUUGGCUUCAAUUUUGUAGAGAGGACAAUCAUAUUUGAUGUGUCCCGACUUUUUGCAUUUGAAGUAUAUCAAAUCUCCUUUCUCUUCCCAUUUUUCCUUAUCACCAUGUGAUGAGGAUUCCCUUCUUGAGGGAUUUCUUCUAGAGGUAAACUUUUUCCCUCUAAACCUUUCACCUCUCAUGUACUUGUUGAGCUUUCUUGUGAUGAGAGCUAAAUCAUCAUCUUCUUCACUUGGGUUUUCUUCUUCAACAUCUUCUUCUUCCUUGGUUGUAGCUUUGAGAGCUAUGCUUUUCUUCUUUUUGUCUUCACUCUCUUAUAGUUGCUUUGUCAAACUGAUUUCAUAAGUCAUUAAUGACCCUAAGAGUUCUUCCAUAGGUAGCUUGGUCAAAUCUUUAGCUUCUUGAAUAGUGGUGACCUUUGUAUGCCACUUUGAGGGGAGAGACCUCAAUGUCUUCAUCACCUUUUCGGAUUCAUUUAUGACCCUUCCCAAUGCUUCAAGGCCAUUGACAAUUUCAGUGAACCUAGUGAUCAUCUCAACAAUAGAUUUAGUUUCUUUCAUUGAAAACAAUUCAUAGUUAUGGACAAGUAUAUUAAUUUUUUACUCUUUCACUUGAUUAGUUCCUUCAUGAGUUAUUUCAAGCAAUCUCCAAAUUUCCUUAGCAGAUUUACAUUGGCAUAUUCUAUUAUAUUCAUUCCUAUCCAUAACACAUUGCAAAGUAAAAACGACUUUAGCAUUUAAUUGAAAAUUUCUUCUAUCAAGCUCAUUCCAUUCUUGCUUGGGUUUUGGAACCAAAACUCCAUCAACUAAUUUAGUGGGAAGAGUUGGGCCAUCUUCAAUGACAUCUCAUACAUCUAAAUCAGUUGAUUGUAAGUACCAAGUCAUUCUAGCUUUCCAAUAGGGAUAGUCGGUUCCCGUAAAGAAUGGAGCUCUAUAUUUUGAACAAUUUUCAGUUUGAGAUGAGCUUGAUGGAAUAGCCAUUUUCCUCUUAGACGAUUAAGUCUUAAGCAAGAGGUCUAGCUCUAAUUGAUAAAACAAAGGCUAUGAAUAAUUAAGGAAAAUACCCAAAAGGGGGAGGGGAGGUGAAUUGGGUUUUUCAAAAUCUUUUUCCACACAAUAAUAUAUGCACAAAAUAAAUAAAGGAAAGAGAUAAAGUUAGAGAAUUCAAACUCGGGUUUAUAGUGGUUCGACACUCCCUUGCCUAUGUCCACUCUCCUCAAUCUCCUAACCGAGUGAGGGUUCCACUAACUUGAAUCUUCAAUCAAGCUUUCAAUCUUCUUACACUUGGAUUCCUGCUCCAAUGGGCUCUUACACAAUCUCUUCAAGAUUUGAACCACUUGAAGGCUUUCACACUCAGUUUACACAAAGAUGAAACUCUCAACCUAGCUUAAGGAUGGCUCAAG